UCAAAGCGAUUGGCCUGUAGUUUGUGAUUAUUUUCAUGUCUGUCUUGUUUUGGGAUGGGGACAAUUUUGAUUUGUCUCCAUUCCUCAAAGAAAUGGCAAUCUUUCCAAUCAUUGUUCAUAGUUCUUAGACCUGGUAAGAGGGAUUUUCUGAAGUUGUCUAAUAUGUCUAAACUUUCCGUGCAGUUCAGCGAGUUCUUAUACAUUGGUAAAGGAUUAGUGUCCAUAAACAGGGAUUGAAGGUGUGACAUUGAUAGGACUGGCUACUGGAUGAUUGAUAAUGGUACGAGGAGCUGCUAUUUUGCUGUACUUUAUUUUAGUCAUUCUUCUGCAAUUUCAUCAUUUAAGUUUCUUAUAAUACAA